rnacentral:rRNA from 1 species
UACGUAGGGUGCAGGCGUUAAUCGGAAUUACUGGGCGUAAAGCGUGCGCAGGCGGUCUGCUAAGAGAGGUGUGAAAUCCCCGGGCUUAACCUGGGAACUGCGCUUCUAACUGGCAGGCUUGAGUGUGGCAGAGGGGGGUGGAAUUCCACGUGUAGCAGUGAAAUGCGUAGAGAUGUGGAGGAACACCGAUGGCGAAGGCAGCCCCCUGGGCUAACACUGACGCUCAUGCACGAAAGCGUGGGGAGCGAACAGG